rnacentral:rRNA from 1 species
GGGUUGUGAGGUUAAGCGACUAAGCGUACACGGUGGAUGCCCUGGCAGUCAGAGGCGAUGAAGGACGUGCUAAUCUGCGAUAAGCGUCGGUAAGGUGAUAUGAACCGUUAUAACCGGCGAUUUCCGAAUGGGGAAACCCAGUGUGUUUCGACACACUAUCAUUAACUGAAUCCAUAGGUUAAUGAGGCGAACCGGGAGAACUGAAACAUCUAAGUACCCCGAGGAAAAGAAAUCAACCGAGAUUCCCCCAGUAGCGGCGAGCGAACGGGGAGCAGCCCAGAGCCUGAAUCAGUGUGUGUGUUAGUGGAAGCGUCUGGAAAGGCGCGCGAUACAGGGUGACAGCCCCGUACACAAAAAUGCACAUAUUGUGAGCUCGAUGAGUAGGGCGGGACACGUGGUAUCCUGUCUGAAUAUGGGGGGACCAUCCUCCAAGGCUAAAUACUCCUGACUGACCGAUAGUGAACCAGUACCGUGAGGGAAAGGCGAAAAGAACCCCGGCGAGGGGAGUGAAAAAGAACCUGAAACCGUGUACGUACAAGCAGUGGGAGCACGCUUAGGCGUGUGACUGCGUACCUUUUGUAUAAUGGGUCAGCGACUUAUAUUCUGUAGCAAGGUUAACCGAAUAGGGGAGCCGAAGGGAAACCGAGUCUUAACUGGGCGUUAAGUUGCAGGGUAUAGACCCGAAACCCGGUGAUCUAGCCAUGGGCAGGUUGAAGGUUGGGUAACACUAACUGGAGGACCGAACCGACUAAUGUUGAAAAAUUAGCGGAUGACUUGUGGCUGGGGGUGAAAGGCCAAUCAAACCGGGAGAUAGCUGGUUCUCCCCGAAAGCUAUUUAGGUAGCGCCUCGUGAAUUCAUCUCCGGGGGUAGAGCACUGUUUCGGCAAGGGGGUCAUCCCGACUUACCAACCCGAUGCAAACUGCGAAUACCGGAGAAUGUUAUCACGGGAGACACACGGCGGGUGCUAACGUCCGUCGUGAAGAGGGAAACAACCCAGACCGCCAGCUAAGGUCCCAAAGUCAUGGUUAAGUGGGAAACGAUGUGGGAAGGCCCAGACAGCCAGGAUGUUGGCUUAGAAGCAGCCAUCAUUUAAAGAAAGCGUAAUAGCUCACUGGUCGAGUCGGCCUGCGCGGAAGAUGUAACGGGGCUAAACCAUGCACCGAAGCUGCGGCAGCGACGCUUAUGCGUUGUUGGGUAGGGGAGCGU